rnacentral:tRNA from 1 species
AAAAAGGUAGUUUAUGAAAGAACGCCGACUUGUGGUGUUGGUAGAAGAAUGUGUCUCCUUUUUU